rnacentral:lncRNA from 1 species
UCAAUCCAGUCUUCUGCUGCAUCUCAUUCUGCUUCUCAGUUGUUUCUUUCGUUCUUCGGAAGGUGAUCGACUCAAACCUGAAAUCACAUUUAGCAAAAGAGAGAGAAAAACUUCUGAGUUGUUCCAGCUAUAAUACUCUAGUUAUGAGUAGAUAUUGACAUGGAAAAUGGUUGUGACACAUUCCUUUACUGGGAUGUAAGCAUCAUGUGGCAAAUUGGCAAUGUAUCUACCUUUUCUUUUCUUUUUCUUUUUUUCUUUUUUUCUUUUUUUGAUGAGAAAUAAUAGUGCAGUAUAUUGAAGUAAGUAAAAAUAAGUAUAAAGAAGGAUGGGAAAUCCUCCAAAAAGUACACAAAAGAAAGCAAGAACCUUCAAGUUCAAGAAUCUAUAUAACUAUGAGGUUCCAAAAGCUAUGUUCCAAGUGAGAAUAUACAAAAGCAAUCUAUCCUUGCUAGCCCACACCCUUGGAACUAGACACCAACAUCUAAUCAAGUUGGAUCAAAUUAAGACGAACACCCUCAAAAGUUGUCAUAAUGCCCAAAAGGAAGCUAAGAAAUGAAUUAUGUCCCAAAGACUCUCUGAAGUUCUCGCCUUGUCCUAAAAAACCUUAGCAUUCCACACAACCCACAUUAUAGCAAGCCAAGCAAACUACAACAACACCUUGCCUCUACUAGAAUUUCUCAAUCCUCUAUAUGAAAUAAUUUUCAUGUCAUAUAUACUCCUAGGAGGAACCCAAUCCAUAUGAGUCAAGCUAAAUAGUCCGUGCCAAAGCCCCAAACUCAAUGGGCAAUGUAAAAAGAUAUGAUCUACCGUUUCACCACUUUCCAUACACAACAAAUAAACCUUAGGACUGAGGCCUUUGUAGGAUCUUCUCAAUUGUAACGUGUCAUUGGUAUUUACCUUUUUGAGUGCCACUAACCAAGCAAAGAAUUUGACCUUAAAUGGGGCUUAAAAUUUCCAAACAAAAUCAAUAGGGAAUGAUGAAGUUGGAUCAAUAUGGUUGGACAGGACUAAAAAGAAUGACUUUACUGUAAAUAAACCUGAAGAAAAUAGGGACCAAGCUCUCAACUCAUGACCAAAUGGAGAUAAGUGCAAGAUGUAUCUACCUUCAAAUUUGUAAAACCACCAUUCCGGUAUAUAAGAGUUGAGUAGACCAUCAAAAUAGAUGGAUGCAUCACUCAAAAUAAAAUAAUUUCAAUUCCCCAAGGAAGCCACUGCACAACUCUAUGUCAUAUUCCUUUGAUCUUAACCAACAGUGAAAAAAAUGCAUUCGAGAAGCUUGAAAAAUGGAAGUUUAGCGUACAAUGUCAAUAUUCAAUAAGGUUCAUAGAGUACAAGACAAUACCAAGACAUCUGAGAACAAAUGGACAUGCAUACCCAAUCAAAGUGAAAAACAGAUACAAAUUUAAAAGCCAAACACAUAUUUCACACCCACAACUGGCCAGCCCAACCAGGAAGCUACUUAGACGGCUACCUAAAGCUUUACAUGGGUAAAGGCCGAAAUCUUCAGAAAAGGAGAAAAAUAAUAAUAAAUCUCUGAACUACGCGUAAGUAUCAAUUAGAAGUUCUACGAUUCAAGUGGUUGACGGAUUGGUUAUCAAAGUCCUCCCGCUCUUGCCAUUUCCACAUAAAUUGUAUUCCCUUUAUUUAACAAAAAAAAAAAAAAGAAAAAAAAGCUUUUGAACUCACAAAUAUAUCCGCUAGGAAAUUUGAUUCUGGAUAUCAAAAUUUCACAGAAAAUAGAUAAAAAUUAUUUUCGUCUAAAAAAACAAAAGGAUUCCGCAAUUCUCUAUCUCCAAACAACUGGCUGAGCCACUGAAAAUUUCAAAAAGGAAAAAGAAAAACAAUGGAAAAGUGUUGGUGAACUCCCAAUUGGAGAGCUAUACCAUCUUAAUAUCCGCAACAUUGAUGAAAACCACAAUCUUUAAACACAAUUCUUGAUCAUCAUUGAAAAAAGAAAAAAGAAGGGGAAAAAAACAAGAGAGAGAUAGAGAGAGUACCUGAUGAAAGACUUGCCAUUGAGAGGCUUAUCUUCGGAAUUGGGGUGAGGGAGGUGGAGUUUGGAAGCGUAGAGACCCUCGCUGCCGCCAUGGAAGAAGUAGGAAUUGAGACGACGACUGAAACCUUCAUUCCUGUACUCGUGGAUCGAAGCUUGGACGACUGUGGCGGAGGACCACAGUAGCAUAAACCCUAGGAACCGCACCAGAUCCCAC